CUCUCUUGUUAUUAAGGGCUGAUUGGGAGAAAGCAUAUGAUGUUUCAGGAGUUGGUGUUUCUAAAACCAAUAAAAAAUUGACAUCUGUCCUAAAAAAAAGAAACAUCAGCCUACUGAACCAUUUAAAUGAAAAUGAUUCAAAAAAAAAGACGAAAUUGACCCUGAAAAAUUCAACCUUCUGUUGUUUUUCCUCUUUUUGCAAAAUCAAAAUGCUCUUCUCUCUCUCUCUCUCCGUUUUUCUCUCCACCACCGCAACACACCAGCGCCUCCAUGACUCCAUUUUUUUCUCUGUCAACUCCAAACCAAAAACCACUUUACUUUUCCUCUUUUCAAAAUCAAAUUUCAAUGUCUCUCUCCCCAGUCCACACGCCACCAUAGCCUUUAUUCUCUCUUAACCCCAAAUCCCAACAGCCAAUGCCCAGCAGUAGCGUCUCUGCCAGCACAACACCGCUGACAUCACAAGUUCUGAAGAAACCGGCCUUUGUCUCAUCAGAAAAUCCCCAAAAUCUUCUCUUUCUAGCAGAACCACCCUACACCGGAAACUUCACGCUACUUCCAACACCCGACAUUCACAAGAAGGGCUCUGCUAAAAAAUUCUGAAGUAUGAUGAAAAGCUCUUUUGGAUAGUAUUUUGGACAAUAUACCGCACAGCUAAUGGACAGCAUUUUUGGAUAGUUUUUUGGAAAGCAUUUCGGACAUUAUUGCACAGUGGAGGAACAUCUUAGAUAGUAUUUUUGACUUGAUAAUUUUUUAGAUAGUAUAAAAAUUUGGACAAGUGAUUGCAUAGCCAACACUAAUUAUAGCUAUCAUUUUUGGAAAAUUUUUGUAACUAAUGAAGCUACUCAAACAUGAUAGAUUUCGUGUUUGUUUGAGUAGCUUCUAGUUAAAGACUAAUUAUAUGCAAAUGAUGAAAGUUUUUAAUGCAAUAGUAAAUUUUAUUCUUAUA